rnacentral:rRNA from 1 species
UACGGAGGGUGCAAGCGUUGUUCGGAAUCAUUGGGCGUAAAGCGCGUGUAGGCGGCUUGGCAAGUCGGUUGGUGAAAGCCCGGGGCUCAACCCCGGAGGUGCGGCCGAGACUGCAGGGCUGGAGGCCGGAAGAGGAGGGUGGAAUACCCAGUGUAGAGGUGAAAUUCGUAGAUAUUGGGUGGAACACCGGUGGCGAAAGCGGCUCUCUGGUCCGGACCUGACGCUGAGGCGCGAAAGCGUGGGGAGCAAACAGG